rnacentral:rRNA from 1 species
AGUGAACGCUGGCGGUAGGCCUAACACAUGCAAGUCGAACGGCAGCACAGUAAGAGCUUGCUCUUACGGGUGGCGAGUGGCGUACGGGUGAGGAAUACAUCGGAAUCUACUUUUUCGUGGGGGAUAACGUAGGGAAACUUACGCUAAUACCGCAUACGACCUACGGGUGAAAGCAGGGGAUCUUCGGACCUUGCGCGAUUGAAUGAGCCGAUGUCGGAUUAGCUAGUUGGCGGGGUAAAGGCCCACCAAGGCGACGAUCCGUAGCUGGUCUGAGAGGAUGAUCAGCGACACUGGAACUGAGACACGGUCCAGAGUCCUACGGGAGGCAGCAGUGGGGAAUAUUGGACAAUGGGCGCAAGCCUGAUCCAGCCAUACCGCGUGGGUGAAGAAGGCCUUCGGGUUGUAAAGCCCUUUUGUUGGGAAAGAAAAGCAGCAGGUUAAUACCCCGCUGUUAUGACGGUACCCAAAGAAUAAGCACCGGCUAACUUCGUG